rnacentral:rRNA from 1 species
CGGAUGUAGCAAUACAUUCAGUGGCGAACGGGUGAGUAACGCGUGGAUAAUCUACCUACGAGAUGGGGAUAACUAUUAGAAAUAGUAGCUAAUACCGAAUAAGGUCAAUUGAGGUGUUAAUUGAUGAAAGGAAGCCUUUAAAGCUUCGCUUGUAGAUGAGUCUGCGUCUUAUUAGCUAGUUGGUGGGAUAAGAGCCUACCAAGGCUAUGAUAAGUAACCGGCCUGAGAGGGUGAUCGGUCACACUGGAACUGAGAUACGGUCCAGACUCCUACGGGAGGCAGCAGCUAAGAAUCUUCCGCAAUGGGCGAAAGCCUGACGGAGCGACACUGCGUGAACGAAGAAGGUCGAAAGAUUGUAAAGUUCUUUUAUAAGUGAGGAAUAAGCUUUGUAGGAAAUGACAAAGUGAUGACGUUAAUUUAUGAAUAAGCCCCGGCUAAUUACGUGCCAGCAGCCGCGGUAAUACGUAAGGGGCGAGCGUUGUUCGGGAUCAUUGGGCGUAAAGGGUGAGUAGGCGGAUAUGCAAGUCUAUGUGUAAAAUACCACAGCUCAACUGUGGAACUAUGCUGGAAACUGCAUGACUAGAGUCUGAUAGGGGAAGUUAGAAUUCCUGGUGUAAGGGUGGAAUCUGUUGAUAUCAGGAAGAAUACCAGAGGCGAAGGCGAACUUCUAGGUCAAGACUGACGCUGAGUCACGAAAGCGUAGGGAGCAAACAGGAUUAGAUACCCUGGUAGUCUACGCUGUAAACGAUGCACACUUGGUGUUAAUCGAAAGGUUAGUACCGAAGCUAACGUGUUAAGUGUGCCGCCUGGGGAGUAUGUUCGCAAGAAUGAAACUCAAAGGAAUUGACGGGGGCCCGCACAAGCGGUGGAGCAUGUGGUUUAAUUCGAUGAUACGCGAGGAACCUUACCAGGGCUUGACAUAUACAGGAUAUAGUUAGAGAUGACUAUUCCCCGUUUGGGGUCUGUAUACAGGUGCUGCAUGGUUGUCGUCAGCUCGUGCCGUGAGGUGUUGGGUUAAGUCCCGCAACGAGCGCAACCCUUAUUGUCUGUUACCAGCAUGUAAAGAUGGGGACUCAGACGAGACUGCCGGUGAUAAGCCGGAGGAAGGUGAGGAUGACGUCAAAUCAUCAUGGCCCUUAUGUCCUGGGCUACACACGUGCUACAAUGGCCUGUACAAAGCGAUGCGAAACAGUGAUGUGAAGCAAAACGCAGAAAGCAGGUCUCAGUCCAGAUUGAAGUCUGAAACUCGGCUUCAUGAAGUUGGAAUCGCUAGUAAUCGUAUAUCAGAAUGAUACGUGAAUACGUUCUCGGGCCUUGUACACACCGCCC